AGAUGCGCCCAGCAGCGGCUGCGCCGGGACCCCACGUUUUCCGCUCAAGAUGAAGACGCUAAAAUUCAGAGCUCAACACAUGGCAUAGUCAAGACUUGAACUCAAGUCAUCAAACUCCAAAGUCUAUGCUCAACCACAGUGCCCUCCUGCCUUCUCUGCUAUAAUACAGUCCACUGGACCUUCACAUGUCAAAAUGCAGAUUCCCCAAAUCCAUCUGCUCUUGCAGAUGGCCAAAAAUGUCCAUAUAUUGUCUUGGUUUCACCUUUGUUGUGAUGUUUCUCCUCACUCUGUGCAUCCUGUGAAUGUGUCAAAACAAUUUGGGACAUGCAUGGCUAUGUAUGUGGGUGCUUUUGUGCAUGUGUGCAUGAGUGUGUGGAUGUGUGUGUGUAUGCAGGUGUACACUUGUGCAUAUGCAAGUGUACAUAGGUGCAUGUGUGUAUCUGUGAGCACAUGCAUGUAUGUGUGGGUAAGAGUUCAUGCAUGUGUAUUUGCACCUGUGUGCAUGUGUGUGCGCAUAUGUCUGUGAAUGUAUGCAUGUGUAUUUGUGCGCCUGUGUGCCCAUGCUACAUUUCACAGACAACAGUUCCUGCUUGGUUGUUAUGGGAACCACAGUUCUAAAAAUGUUAAACUGAAUCCCA
rnacentral:lncRNA from 1 species